AGCAAACUGAGGAGGGAGCUGCGUCAAACACACAGCUCUCCCAGACAGCUCAGCACCACACACGCUGGGAGCAGGUCUGAACACAGCUCGAUGGCAGUUCUCUGCUCGGCCUGCCAAGGCUCCAGCUCCAAACUGCUUCUCGGCAUCCUCCACCUUCUUUUUGAAAAGUAACAAAGACAUCUGAUUUCCUCCCACCCCUUCUCUGCGCGCCCCUCUGCUCCCUCCCUCCCCCUCCCUGGCACUGGGGUUAUUUAUACAGAAUGUGGAAACAAUUUGCAGGAAAGCGAACAAUGUAACCCAGAGUGAGGAAGGGAGACAAGUUUAUUGUGCACGCUGAGGGGCCUAGAAGCAAGGCACUGCGCUUUUGGGGUGAGAGGGAGCGGGCUGUUUUCCCUUCUUUCUGCUCCCCUCUUUCAGUGUCUGACUGCGUCACUUUGUCUUGCCAGAGCCAGGUCCAAACCAGAGCAACCAGAUCUGACUGCGUGAUUUGGAGGAAGUUCAGGUUGGAUCCCCUCCCUGCACCAAAGCUUGUGCUUAAUCCUCUCAGAGGUUUUGCUCUCGGAUCAUUUCUGCUCCCGGGUUAGCAUUAAUGAAGAGCAUGUGUGCUGAGAGGUCCUGAUCCAGGCCCUGAGAGCUACAGCACUGCUGCAGGCACUGUUUUAUGCCGGGGUGUUGCACCUAGCUGUUCAGAGGAAUAGCUAGGCUGAACGAGAAGAUUCCCCGAGAGUGAACGAGGCAGAAGCUUUGUGCAAAGUGUGAUUUCAUUCCUCCUUCCCUUGCCCCCUAAGGGUGAAGUUUUCAGAGCACCCCUGCACCUUGUUAGCACAGAUGUGAAAGCAUCUUUGUAAAUCUAGCAGUUUGCUUUGGUGCCCACCACAGAGCUGAGCUCUGCUGAAACUUGGGAACAAAGCACGUGCGCUUCUCAGAGGUGCGGGUGCCCUUUGUCCGUGGGUGUAAGCUGAGCCAGCAUUUCAUCCAGUAGCCUUGAGCAGCUCUGAGGUCUUCAGAUCUCCCUCUGCACGGGGCCCAGUUACCAUAAAGUGCUAAAAAAGAGGUAAUCCAAGCCCACUCAUGUGUUGAAAAGGGCACGUUAGUGUUGCAGAGGGAAGGAGAGGUUCUCCACAGGUUGCACAUCUGAGCAGAGCAGCUGCCUUGGCAAGCUCCUCCCUUCCCAGGAGCUUACAGCUUCUUUUCUCAAUAGCCUCAAGACUUGGGCCGUGAUCUGUGCAAGUUGUGCUGAGCUGAGCUGGUGGGGCAGAGUCAGGAAGCUGCCAACUGGGGCAUCGUGUUCCUCCCUAAACCGGGCAAAUUUCUGACCCUGAACUGGUGGAGUUUGGUGACCCGACAGCACAGGAGGGAGCCAUGUGCAGAGGGACAAUUAGAAGGAACCUGCAGUGGGUUCUUCCGCCCUGAGAUCUCACCCUCUCCACCUCCAGUAUUUCCUUCUCCUUCUCAGUCUUUGUCCAUACACAGAGUGCGAACUUCCAGUGUGUGUGUGUCCUGUAAAAUUUGCAUCUGCUCUGCCACACAGAGUGGCAAAUGUCUCCGCGGGCACGCUGACCCUUCUGAAACUAGGGACACAGCAUGGAUACCAUCCCAAAUGCUGUAGCUGAUCCCUUCCUUUAGCCAGUUCUUGGCCCAAAUUAGCAAAUUUUGCUGAAAAACACAGCACAGGGCAGGAGUGAGGUUAUUCUGGUCCCCGCUGUUUUCUGAUGUGAUCUCAUCAGGGGCAGUUCAGCUCCUCUCUUUGGGGUCUGCUAGUUUUCCUUAACUCUCAGAAGGGCCAGAAGCAGCAAUGGUUUCUGUUUUCUCUUCCAAGCCAGGCACCAACAUUGUGAAGCCCACAGCUGGGAGCAAAGAGUGACUGCCACCUUCUGCUGCUCCCCGUCAGCCAAGGCAGUGCCCAGACAUCACAGCGCAGACCCUCUCCACCAUGUGAGCCAGGCGCAGAGGCUGUGGCACAAAGAAACACGGGGUUUGGAGGCAUUCACUCUAUCUGCACCCGCCUCUGCUAGCACAGCGUGCUCCCCGACCUGUCUGCCUCCCAUCCAUGCAGCUGCCUCUCACAGAGCCUGUGGAUGUCUGCAGCAGCCUGCCCAGGCUUGUCGCACGGUGUGCUUAGCUGACUAGCAGCGUGCUGGGCUACGGAGAGCAUUUCAGUGCCAUAAGACUCUGGAGGGCCCCCUCUGGUCCCUCCUGCAGCUGUGCUUAUCUCGGGCUCUUAGGAGAGCAGCUCUGGUUUUGAGGGCACUCCACUGAAGACGGUAUGGGCAGACAGGUGUCCAGUCUCUUUCUGACUCCCAAGGUCCCCCUUUUAUCCCUGGAAAUGUGGCCUUGAGUUAAACUGCAUGGAGAACUCUGAACUAAGCAGCUCACAGCAGCUGUACAGGUUUGGGCAAAGUGGAGUCUUGUACCUCUACCUUGAGAGACUUGGAAAUGCAGAGAGCUGCAGUGUAAUUUCAGGAAAACAGUCACUGCAGCACAUGUUUUUCCCUUUCUGGUUUGAUUCUAAAUGUAUAAAUUCUCGUAAUUUGGGUCUCUCCUUGGAACAAUUGUGGUGCUGAAGCCAUCCUUAGCUUUUGGGAAUUUCCUUUGUCAUCUUGUUCUUGUUUAUGUUAUUUUUAGGACUAUUUAGAGGAAAACAUAUUUGUAUUCUUCGUUUCAUGCUGCUUGCUUACCACCUGAAUUUCUCAUCUGCUCUUUGCAGUUCCCAGCACAACUGUGAGCAAUAUCCCGAGCAGAGCAUUCCAGCUUCAGGUGGAGAAAAGCAACAGAAGCAGAUGGGCUUGUAAACAGCAGAGAGCCGGCUGUCCCGCAGAGGUCCUUGCAGAACAGAGAGGAGCAGAAGGGGAGCCGCGUGUGGCUGCACAUGUUCCAUUAGUGGAGUGCUGGUGAAGAGAAGCAGGGUGCUUCAGCCCCGUGUGGAGGUGUGGGGAGCAGCUCUGUCGGUCCUGCUGCCUCUGCUCUCGCAGGUGUGCCGCGGGGACAGUCGCAGGGGAGCUGGGAAGAAAAGCCUGGCGCUGACACAGCCUGUCCAGGGCCUCCAGCUCAGGUGAUGACAAAGCUCUGAGUGCUUCUAGCUGCCCUGAGAAGCAGCACAUGAACUGUUUCCUGAAGGAAUACAGAUCCCUGGCUGCAUAAAGGCUGGUUUUCCUUGUCCUUCGCUCACCCUGUGUGUAAUAGAGCCUAGGAGUGAUGCAAUCAGGCAUACUUCUUCCCUGUUAGAGGGCUGGGGACUCCUUCUGUUUUUACUUUUCUUUCAUGCUUGGGCACGACCCUCUUUCCUGUCAUUUCUGGCUGCUCUUUGCUUACUGAUGAACCCUGGGGGGUUCAGUUGCUUAGUUUAGAGCCAGGAAAUGAAUGAAGAAGGGCAGGAGAAGAAAGAAAACAGAAUAAGGAGACUCACUUCCAUAGUUUAUUGGGCCCAGAGAGAUUUCUAUAAACCACAUGGUAUCAGGUGUAAAAGAAAUGAAAGAUGAUAACCAAUGUGGAAGACUGGAGCAGCCCAAACCUCCCACAGCCCGGUGAGUCUCCAGAAAUGUUGGCAAGGCUUAAACAGCAAUUUACUCUAGCUGCAGGCAAAGAGCAGCCCCUCCACCUUGUUCGUGUCAAGGAGAGGUCCUGAUUCAUGGGAUCUGUUUUUAUUUCCUCUGUCAGGGAGACUACUGUGGAUCCUGAGGAGUGUAGCAGUCACCGAGAUAAGAGACCAGUGAAAGAUGGUUCCAGGUGAGGAUUUUAGAGAGAUUUGUGUUUGAUUUAAGGUUGAAGAGUUGAUAUUUCUAUUGUUGGUGGAGACUGGGAGGGGAGAUUACCAAGUCUCCAAGUCUUAAUGUAAAAUGCUUAGAAUCUGGAACAGAUUGCCAAAAUGACACUUAGGGAUGACUAAAUGCACAAAGCAGCUUGAAUACCCCUACCACCAGAGAUCAUCCAGUCCAGGAUAAAACCUCUGAAAUGGGCAGCUCUUAUAUAAAGUACAUAUGUCUGGGGACUUAAAAUACAAGAAAACAGUAUCUGAGGAGGAGGAGAUAACACCACUUUCUUCUCUGUUUCCUAGAAAGGAAGGAGAAAAUCCCAAGUUACUCUUUUUUUUUUUUUUUUUUUCCUUUUUUUUUUCCUUUAUUUUUUUUUUCCUUCUGACAAUGGACAGGAGUGGACAGCUCAGGAUUUUUUUUUUUUUUCUGAGCUGGACAAGAACCACUGCAGGUUAAGAUGAUCCCCGUAACCCGACACAGUGGGCUCACUUCAUCCUGCCACAAGUGGUUCUGGCAUUUCUAGUGAGAUUUGCAAUUCUAAGAUGUAACCUUAGAGGUUAAUUGAAGUCUGAAAAUAAGUUUAUUUGGUAGAUAGGCUAGAGGGGUUUAAUUACAUGUUUAGAUCUAUGUUACUUUAUCCAUAAAUUUUACCUGGGAAAGGAAACUGUGGUAUUGGGAACAACAGCUUCAAGCGGUUUGGAUUUGGAAACGGAAACUCACGGGGACUGGCAGAUGGAAAUGAGCUCUGAAUUAAAGGAAUCUCUUUGUUUGUUUUGGGCCCAAAAUAACUGGACUAUGUGUAAGGCCUGCUUUUCUGAGGAUGGGUGCUCAGCAGUUUGGUGACAGGCUGUCAGAAGGAAGCUAUCUGAAAUGCAGGCUGUACACGUCUGGAUUCUUUUUGCCUUCUUUCUCUUUUCUGCCUGGUAUGUCAUAUUCUCCAUGCAGUUUUCCAGAUCAGAGUUACUCUUCCACUUGUUCCCCUUUGCCUCCUGCUGAGUCAAUUCCUUUAUUUUCUACCAUUAUUUGUACUGUAGUCACUCCCGGAAUCUGGGCAAUCUUCCUCAGAAGUCUCCUUGUCUCCCAAGCUCACCGCCAACUCUUCCACUAAAGCUUUUCUUUCUUUGUUCUGCAGAAGAAGAAAAGGCCAGGAAAGUGUGCCGUGACACCCAUUUGGGUGCCAUUGCCCUGUAAUUCUUUACAAACUCGAUACAAACGUAUAGUCACUGAGAAGUGCUACAGUGAGACGUGUAAAGGCUAAAUUGGUUUUAGCACAUGAAAGGGAAGCAAGUGCUGUGGCCUGGUAUCAGGCACCGAGUCCUGGUUUUGGUUUGGACGCUGACUCACUCCCUGAGCUCGGGGAAAUCGUUUCCCUUCUCUGUGCACCUGUUUCCACUCCCCACCUCUAAUUGUCUGUCUGGUUAGGCUGUGAGCUCUUCAGGACACAGCCCAUCUCUCGCUACGUGCGUGCACAACGCCUCGGCACAAUGGAGCCUUGUCUUGGUUGGGGCCUUAGGUGUUAAAGUAAUACAAACAAGAAUAAAAGGUAUGCCCAGACAGCACGGCAAGCUUCCCAGACAUGCUGCCCUGCAAGCAUGUCUGAAACCCGAUGUGCUGGGAGCUGUCUCUGUUCCCAGCCCUCAGCUUCUCUCAGUCGGCCAACAAGGCAUUAACCAGUUCCAGUUACAAUGGGGAGGUGAACGGGCACAGUCCCAGUUCCACUGGGAGCCAGGGUGAAAUCACUAAACCCAUUUUGCAAACUCAAGCAGUGCCCGAUAGGAACCCCCUUCCCGUGCAGCCACGGACCUGCCUGGAGCUUCGCCACCUCCCUGCAGGUGAAAAGCUCCGCACACCAGCCCCGAGCUCAUAUCAGCCGCUUGCAGCCCGAGUCGGCUCCAGUUUGCCAGCGGAGAAGUGAGCAGGAACAUUUUCUCCUUUCCUCCCUCGUCUGAGGAGCUGCGUGCAUGUCUCAGGUUUUUCUUCUUGCCUUCCUGCUUCUGCAUAGCCCCUUCCUCCAGUGGUCUGUUCGUUCCCAGCGCUCCACCCCAUCUUUUGCUUUCCUCCCUGGUUUGAGACAGCAUCUCGCUGGUCCUGCCUCACACUCGGCAAAGGGGUAUUAGAUGGAUUCCCCACAGAGUAUAAAUUGAAUGAAGAGAAGUGGCUGGUUUCCCAGCAAUAAUUUAUCUGAUUAAAAAAAUACUCCCCGAACUCCCCCCUCCUCUGCCGGCCCUACACCCCCUCCAAAAAGAAGACUGGCACUGGGGCUAGUGUUACAGCUGCAUUAUUCAAAUCGCUGGAAGGGGGAUUUAGAUGGGAAAAUGACUGUCAAAAGAUGGCUCUCUGGGGAAAAAAGCGGGAGCUCUGAAAUUUGGAUCAUGGGUUGGUGUGUGGAGGAGGCAGAGAGAGUAAAUAAUUCCGAGUCAAGUACCUCUGUGCUUUAUAGCUGUGCCCUCAUCUAACAAAUAUUUUACAAAUAGGCAUAGAUGCAUCUGCUCACACACGUGUCCCUGCACACACCUCUCGUAGAAAAAGCCAUCAGCAGCAACUCCGUGGCAAAGCAAGCUGCUCCUGCUGGUCCAUGCCUCCUCUCUUUUUUUUUGCCUUGGUUCAGGGCUCAUUCCAAAUAAAAGAAGAAAUCCACUUCACAAAA